rnacentral:tRNA from 1 species
GGGGUUGUAGCUCAGAUGGUAGAGCACUUGCCUAACAUGCAUGAGGCACUGGGUUCAAUCCUCAGCACCACA